UUGCUUGUAAAAAAAGUAACUUGUUAUGUUGUUACCUUGACCCGGAAACAAAUCUUAUAGCUAUCGAUAGUCCGAUUUCAUUGCACACAUAAUCGUAACCCCAUUUUCGUAAACUUGUGCACACAAUUAAAGCAAAAUGGAGGGCACAAAAAUAUACGAUUUGCCAUUAAAUAUUUUGGACCAUAUCUUUAGUCAACUAUGUAUGACUGACCAAUUGAGCUUGGCCGAGUCGCAUGUUAACCUGCAAAGUGCAUUUUUAUACCAUUGUUACACGGCUCCAAAUCCACUGAAUAAUGGUAUACAAAUUACGCUUAAACCCGCUAUCAAACAGGAGAAAGAAGACCCUAUUUUUAAAUCGAUGGCACGAUCUCAAUAAUGCUUGAUUAAUAUGAAAGACUGUUUACCCGUUGCCGAAAUACUGAUUUCCGAUGAACAUGGGAAAUUGUUUGGUAAUAGUUUGAAUAAACAGCCUCAAAUAAUUUAUUGAAUUAAA